AACGAACGCUGGCGGCAUGCCUAACACAUGCAAGUCGAACGAGACCUUCGGGUCUAGUGGCGCACGGGUGCGUAACGCGUGGGAACCUGCCCUUAGGUUCGGAAUAACUCCCCGAAAGGGGUGCUAAUACCGGAUAAUGUCUUCGGACCAAAGAUUUAUCGCCUUUGGAUGGGCCCGCGUUGGAUUAGUUAGUUGGUAGGGUAAAAGCCUACCAAGGCGACGAUCCAUAGCUGGUCUGAGAGGAUGAUCAGCCACACUGGGACUGAGACACGGCCCAGACUCCUACGGGAAGCAGCAGUGGGGAAUAUUGGACAAUGGGCGAAAGCCUGAUCCAGCAAUGCCGCGUGAGUGAUGAAGGCCUUAGGGUUGUAAAGCUCUUUUACCCGGGAUGAUAAUGACAGUACCGGGAGAAUAAGCUCCGGCUAACUCCGUG
rnacentral:rRNA from 1 species